rnacentral:tRNA from 1 species
AGCUCAGUCGGUUGGAGUGUGGUGCUGCUAACACCAAGGUCACGGGUUCGAUUCCCGU